AGCGAACGCUGGCGGCAGGCCUAACACAUGCAAGUCGAACGAACUCUUCGGAGUUAGUGGCGGACGGGUGAGUAACACGUGGGAACGUGCCUUUAGGUUCGGAAUAACUCAGGGAAACUUGUGCUAAUACCGAAUGUGCCCUUCGGGGGAAAGAUUCAUCGCCUUUAGAGCGGCCCGCGUCUGAUUAGCUAGUUGGUGAGGUAAUGGCUCACCAAGGCGACGAUCAGUAGCUGGUCUGAGAGGAUGAUCAGCCACAUUGGGACUGAGACACGGCCCAAACUCCUACGGGAGGCAGCAGUGGGGAAUCUUGCGCAAUGGGCGAAAGCCUGACGCAGCCAUGCCGCGUGAAUGAUGAAGGUCUUAGGAUUGUAAGAUUCUUUCACCGGGGACGAUAAUGACGGUACCCGGAGAAGAAGCCCCGGCUAACUUCGUGCCAGCAGCCGCAGUAA
rnacentral:rRNA from 1 species